GUGUAUGAAACAAACCCUAAGGUUACUUACAAUAUCCUAAACUGAUUAAAAUUCAGCAUAUACU
rnacentral:tRNA from 1 species